rnacentral:rRNA from 1 species
ACCCGCUGAAUUUAAGCAUAUCAAUAAGCGGUGGAAGAGAAACUAACCAGGAUUCCCGCAGUAACGGCGAGCGAAGUGGGAAGAGCUCGAGCCUGUAAUCUCUGGCUGCCAGCGAAUUGUGGCCGGGAGAGGUGGCUUGGUGGCGUCAAAGUUGACCUGGAAGGGCACGUCGUAGAGGGUGAGAACCCCUGAGAGUCGGGUUGUUUGGGAAUGCAGCCCAAAGUGGGUGGUAAACUCCAUCUAAAGCUAAAUACGGACACGAAACCGAUAGCGAACAAGUACCAUGAGGGAAAGGUGAAAAGUACUUUGAAAAGAGAGUCAAAGAGACCGCGAAACCGUUAGGAGGGAAACGAAU